rnacentral:rRNA from 1 species
AGAGUUUGAUCCUGGCUCAGAACGAACGCUGGCGGCAUGCCUAACACAUGCAAGCCGAACGAACCCUUCGGGGUUAGUGGCGCACGGGUGCGUAACGCGUGGGAAUCUGCCCUUUGGUUCGGAAUAACAGUUAGAAAUGACUGCUAAUACCGGAUGAUGACUUCGGUCCAAAGAUUUAUCGCCAGAGGAUGAGCCCGCGUAGGAUUAGGUAGUUGGUGGGGUAAAGGCCUACCAAGCCGACGAUCCUUAGCUGGUCUGAGAGGAUGAUCAGCCACACUGGGACUGAGACACGGCCCAGACUCCCACGGGAGGCAGCAGUGGGGAAUAUUGGACAAUGGGGGAAACCCUGAUCCAGCAAUGCCGCGUGAGUGAUGAAGGCCUUAGGGUCGUAAAGCUCUUUUACCCGGGAUGAUAAUGACAGUACCGGGAGAAUAAGCUCCGGCUAACUCCGUGCCAGCAGCCGCGGUAAUACGGAGGGAGCUAGCGUUGUUCGGAAUUACUGGGCGUAAAGCGCACGUAGGCGGUUAUUCAAGUCAGAGGUGAAAGCCCGGGGCUCAACCCCGGAACUGCCUUUGAAACUAGAUGACUAGAAUCUUGGAGAGGUCAGUGGAAUUCCGAGUGCAGAGGUGAAAUUCGUAGAUAUUCGGAAGAACACCAGUGGCGAAGGCGACUGACUGGACAAGUAUUGACGCUGAGGUGCGAA